rnacentral:lncRNA from 1 species
GGUUCUCAAAGGAAAUCAUGUGAUUCUCAGGAUUUUAACUUUUCCUGAAUUACAAUUUGAAGUACAAAAUACAUGCUUGCAUGUCUUUUACAAAAUUACAUUAGAGUCAUUGAAACAACGUAUUUGAAAGUGCAUACAGCCGUCAUUCUUUUCUUCCUGUAUUUUAAGUAGUAAGCUCUGCUGGUGCGAAGUCCAGAUGUUGACCCACCUGUGGAGACUGGGAGCAGCAAGAGUGGACAUCAGGAAUGGGAGUAUCUGGAAUAAUGGCUGAUCAAUAAUUUCUAAACUACUCACAUGCAAUUCAUCCAUUGAUUCACUCAUUUAUUCACCCACAGACUGGUCCAGGACAAUCACAGGUGAGCUACACAGACACAGUAGGUCAAAAUUGUUUAGAGAACAAAGAUAGCACUACUUAUCCUGAGCUUAUGUCAGCUGCAGAGAUGGUAUUAUAUAUGCCCCAGAUGGAGUGAGGAUUUGAGGACCCUUAGGCGAGAAAGGACUGCUGCAAACUAUUUUCACAGAUUGGCUUAAAACUUUUCAACUGGGACAUUGGGAAGUUUCAGAAUAGAAGGGAAAACAUUUUCAAAUGUGAGUAGAGGAGGAUACUACAAAACUGUUAUUAGCUAUAUAGGAGAGAAGCAUGGCAUUUCUGGAAGCAUGCAGCCUAGGAGGAAGCCUCCUGGACCCUCGAUCCCUGGGGAACAUAGGAUGAAAGUCGCUGCACUGGUUCCUGAAGAUACGUAUUUCAACCAUUGAAUACUUCUGAGAACUGGAAUAUUGAGUCGCGUCACUGCCUGAAUAAGAGUGAGUGUGUUUCUUUCUCUUCUGGAAUUGCAGUAGUGAGUUGCCACAUGGUCAGUAUUGAAGAAUACCUAAAUAAUUAGGUAUUCUGCAAAAGGAGGGGAUGAUGAAGACCAUGGUUACUGCCGCCUUUCUCUCUUACUUGGGUUUGCCUGAAGGGUCAUGGACAUGUCACCUUAACUGAAGUGUUGGUCAUUUUCUCUCCCUUAUUUUGGGUUUUCUGUUACUCGGUGAUUUCUUUGCCUGGUUCUUGUUUCAGUUGUUUGGGUUUUUCCACCCUCCUGCGACCACCCAGCGCCAUUCCUUUCUCAAUCACAAGAAGAAGGACUCAGCUAAGACCCUAAAGGCUGGGAUACACACUCACUUUGGAGCCCGCAGGUGGCAUCCUGAGAGAUAUGACAAAACCCAGCAGAAAGUAGAAAUCCUUAUCAAGAAUCACACCUCCUAAACAGAACAAUACUGAUCUAGCCCUUCAAAGGAACACUUCCCACAUCUAUAAAAUGGACAGAAUUGAAUUUAACAAUGAACUCCAGGAAGACUCACCCUGAGAGCCACUCUCUCCAAACCCCCUUGUUGCUCCAAUGUGUCUAAGAGGGUUUUGCCGCUGACUUCUAGUUGCCAAUCUCUUCCCCGUGGUGUGGAACAAGACCAAUCAGGACAGGUCCAUCCCAGCAUUAAGAGACAAUCAAC